rnacentral:rRNA from 1 species
GAUGAACGCUGGCGGCAUGCUUAACACAUGCCAGUCGAACGGGCAGUGGUGUUUCCAGUGGCGAACGGGUGAGUAACGCGUAAGAACCUGCCCUUGGGAGGGGAACAACAACUGGAAACGGUUGCUAAUACCCCGUAGGCUGAGGAGCAAAAGGAGAAAUCCGCCCAAGGAGGGGCUCGCGUCUGAUUAGCUAGUUGGUGAGUUAAUAGCUUACCAAGGCGAUGAUCAGUAGCUGGUCCGAGAGGAUGAUCAGCCACACUGGGACUGAGACACGGACCAGACUCCUACGGGAGGCAGCAGUGAGGAAUUCUCCGCAAUGGGCGAAAGCCUGACGGAGCAAUGCCGCGUGGAGGUGGAAGGCCUACGGGUCGUCAACUUCUUUUCUCGGAGAAGAAACAAUGACGGUAUCUGAGGAAUAAGCAUCGGCUAACUCUGUG